rnacentral:rRNA from 1 species
CACGUAGGGGGCAAGCGUUGUCCGGAUUUAUUGGGCGUAAAGAGCUCGUAGGUGGUUCGGUAAGUCGGGUGUGAAACCUCCAGGCUCAACCUGGAGACGCCACCCGAUACUGCUGUGACUGGAGUCCGGUAGGGGAGCGUGGAAUUCCUGGUGUAGCGGUGAAAUGCGCAGAUAUCAGGAAGAACACCCGUGGCGAAGGCGGCUCUCUGGGACGGUACUGACGCUGAGACGCGAAAGCGUGGGGAGCGAACAGG